GGCUAGAAUGAUGAGGAAGUUUCCUUAGGCGUGGUUGCGGCCGUCUUGGUUGCUUAUUUACCACUUGCCAAUGCGAGGACUUGUCAUAGUUACACUGACUGAGC
ensembl:snoRNA